AAAACUGUUUAAACUGGAGGCAGGAGAGGAAAGUUGAAUUCCUAGAUGUAGCGUUGAGAUGCGUAAGAUAUUUAGGAGGAAUAGCAGUGGCGAAGGCGACUUUCUGGACUACAACUGACCUGAGUCACGAAAGCGUGGGGAGCAAACAGGAUUAGAUACCAUGGUAGUACACGCCGUAGACGAUGAGUACUAGGUGUCGGGGGAAGACCUCGGUGCCGAAGUUAGCACAUUAAGUACUCCGCCUGGGGAGUACGCUCGCAAAGAGUAAAACUCAAAGGAAUUGACGGGGACCCGCACAAGCAGCGGAGCAUGUGGUUUAAUUCGAAGCAACGCGAAGAACCUUACCUAAGCUUGACAUACCAAUGACAGCCUUUUAAUCGAGGACUUUUACCUUCGGGUAGACAAUGGAUACAGGUGGUGCAUGGUUGUCGUCAGCUCGGGUCGAGAGAUGUUGGGUUAAGUCCCGCAACGAGCGCAAACCUUGUCGAUAGUUACCAGCAGUAAGAUGGGGACUCUAUCGAGACAGCUAAGGACAACUUAGAGGAAGGUGGGGAUGACGUCAAAUCAUCAUGCCCCUUAUGUUUAGGGCUACACACGUGCUACAAUGGUCAUUACAGAGAGAAGCGAAACUGCGAAGUCAAGCAAACCUCAAAAAGAUGAUCCAAGUUCGGAUUGUAGGCUGAAACUCGCCUACAUGAAGUUGGAGUUGCUAGUAAUCGCGUAUCAGAAUGUCGCGGUGAAUGCGUUCCCGGGUCUUGUACACACCGCCCGUCACACCAUGGGAGUUUGGGGGGCCCUAAGUCGGUUCUCACCGCAAGGAGAGAGCUGCCCAAGACAAAUCAAAUUGUCUUGGGAAGUCGUAACAAGGUAGCCGUAAUCUCUGGGAAGAAACCGCGCGUACCGAGUUCUUAAUUCAAUAAGCGGGUCUUUACCCGCCCU
rnacentral:rRNA from 1 species